GCCUCAUUAGUUCAGUGGCAGUAACGCAAGUCUCAUGUCUCCGAUGUGAGUGGUCUUCGGACCACGCAAACUUGAGGUCGCAAGUUCAAUCCUUGCAUGGGGCA